UCUAGUCUUUUAGAGUUUCGAGUUCUGUUCACAGGUUGUCACAUCGACGCUGGCAUAUAUCACCAUCGCAUCAUCAUCGUCGCUGUUGCCAUAUACCACCACCACAUAUUCACCGCCAAUUCGAAUCCAUAUACGCCACCACAUAUCCGCCGCCAUCACGCCAAUCCGAGUUCACCUGCAACAUAUAUCCGCCACCUGUCCGUGUUCCACCAGAUUCAUCUCCGCCACCAGUCCGAGUUCCACCAGAUUCAUCUCCGCCACCAGUCCUAGUCCGAGUCCAGUAAUUGUUGCAUUGUUCUCGAUUUCCAGAUCACGCGACACUCCGAGUCGUGACAGAGAAGGACUCCCCAACUUCCGAGCCAUCCGCAGAAGAAAAAUAGUUCCAAUUUCAAAAAAAAACUAAGUCCGGAAAAUUCUGGCUAGGCAGUUUUUAGACCAUUUGUAGACUUUUUCGAAAAAAAUUUGUUGCGGAGCAAAAAAAAAAGAGGAAAAAAAAGUGCAAAAAAAAGAGAAAAAAAAUUCAGAGUGUGCUCCUCCCUUGUUUACGUACCGCGCCGUGAUUUUGUUGGUGUUCUAGGCUCGCGUCUCUAGCACAGUCUAGCCUAGGACCAGCACAGUACCGUCCUUGAGCAUUUAUUCAACUUUGCAUCUCUGAAUUGAUUAUUGCUGACCCUUUUUGCUACCAUAUUAUAAGCCUUCCCAGCUCCACAUACAUCUACGUCGUGCGUUUGACUCUCCCUGGUAAUCUCUCUAUCCAAGCUUUGAGAGUUUUGACUACAACGGUUGCCGAUCACCGCCUGUUGCUGGGUAAGAACUGGUAAGAAUUUGAGUUUUGCUUGACGGAUUUGUGACACCCACCACCACCACUUGUUCGUAGUCUGUAGGAUCAUAUUCUUGUGUGUUUCUAUUGCUGCUAACCAUGCCAGGAUCACAAGCCGACGAGAUUGACUGGGAGAAUUUAUCGAACAAGGAGCUUCAUGAUAAGUUUCAGCAAAUGAUGACUGAACAGGUGCAAGAUGUGCUGAACAAUUUUGAAGAGGCCAUGGAGAAGAUCACUGGCCUUGAGAAGACGUUCGAAACAAAGCUCGAUAACAAGUUUAAUGAAUUGCUCGCGCGUCUUCCACCACCACCACCCGCUGCACCUAACGCACCUCUCCAACAACAACAACAACGACUACCUCCACGUCGCGAAACAGACCUCCGCCGAGCAAGCCGUGUUCCUCUUGCAUUUGGCCAAACUGUUGGUGCUGCUGUUGAUACUUCUGUGGCUCCUGCUGCUGAUGCGGAGGAGGAUGAUUAUGUGGGAGAUUAUGAGGAUGAGGUUGAUCAAAAUCAGCACUACGUGCAGCCACCUGUACCACCACCAGCAGGUCGACCUCACGUAUAUAUUCGUAAUGGUAGGCCUGCACCACCACCUCAGGUACGAGAUGAUGUCCAUAUUCCUAAACUGAAAUUGAAUAUUCCACCAUUUGAGGGUAGAAAUGUUCCUGAUAUAUAUCUUACUUGGGAGUUAGAAACUGAACAACGAUUUACAUGUUUACAAUACCCUGAGGAGAGACGAGUUGCUGCUGCUAUUUGUGCUUUCACUAGUUUUGCAUGUGUAUGGUGGUCUGAACAUUGUAGAUUAUAUCCUAUUCCAACUACUUGGGCUGCUUUGAAAACUGCUAUGCGUACGCGUUGGGUUCCACCAUAUUAUCAACGUGAAUUGCUUCGAAAAUUGGAGCGUUUAAGACAAGGGAAAAAUUCUGUAGAAGAAUAUUAUCAGGAAUUACAAACUGGCAUGAUUAGAUGUGGUAUUGUUGAGGAGAAUGAAGCUAUGCUUGCACAUUUUCUGGGUGGAUUAAAUAGAGAGAUUCAGACCAUUCUAGACUAUAAGGAGUAUACUAAUAUCACUCGUUUAUUCCAUCUUGCUUGUAAAGCUGAACGUGAAGUGCAGGAUCGACAAGCAUUGGGGCGAACUAACUUUUCUGCAGGCCGACCUUCAUCAUGGACACCACGUGCAUCUUCUACUUCAACUGCACCAGCACCUCCAUCCGGUGCCACCUCCAGCCGUGAUACAAGAAAACAGGCACAACCACCAUUAUCUGCCAAGAGCGCACCUGCGGGGCCUGCACAGCGUUCUUCUUCUUCCAUGGCAUCAACAGGGCACACAAGUGAUAUUAUUUGUCAUCGUUGUAAGGGAGGAGGUCAUUAUGCGAGAGAAUGCAAAUCUCCGCGUGUGAUGAUUGCUACCGCGGAUGGUGGAUAUGAGUCUGCUAGUGACUAUGAUGAGGAGACUUUGGCUCUUAUUACACGUGAAGAACAUGGUGGAGAUGAUUCUGAUCAUGAAACGCAAUACAUGGCUCCUGAAGAUGCUGACAGGUAUGAAUGUUUAGUUGCUGAACGUGUUUUGAGUGUGCAGAUCACACAAGCUGAGCAAAAUCAGAGGCACAAUUUGUUCCAUACCAAGGGAGUUGUGAAGGAACGUUCUAUGCGCGUCAUCAUAGACGGAGGGAGCUGCAACAACUUGGCUAGCAUGGAGAUGGUGGAGAAGCUUUCUCUCACCACAAGACCACAUCCACAUCCUUACUACAUCCAAUGGUUCAACAACAGCGGCAAGGUUAAGGUAACACGUACUGUUCGUGUGCAUUUUAGUAUCUCUACAUAUGUUGAUUAUGUUGAUUGUGAUGUGGUACCUAUGCAAGCAUGUUCCUUAUUACUUGGUAGACCAUGGCAAUUUGAUAAAAAUUCUGUACACCAUGGUAGAAACAAUCACUAUACUCUUGUUCAUAAGGAUAAAAAUAUUACUUUGCUUACUAUGACUCCUGAUUCCAUUUUGAAAGAUGAUAUUAAUAGAGCUAAUAAAGCAAAACAGGAGACGAAUAAGAGUGAAAAUCAGAUUGUGGCAAAAGAAUUUGAGCAACAAAUGAAGCCUAAUAAUAAACCAUCUAGUGUUGCUGCUGAAAUUAAAUUGAAAAGUGCAUGUUUAUUUGCCACCAAAUCUGAUAUUGAUGAGCUAGAUUUCAGCAAAUCUGUUUGCUAUGCUUUUGUGUGCAAAGAGGCAUUAUUUUCAUUCGAGGACGUGCCUUCCUCUUUGCCUCCUGCUGUCACUAACAUUUUGCAGGAGUUCGCUGACGUCUUUCCACAAGACGUGCGACCGGGAUUACCGCCUAUUCGAGGGAUUGAGCAUCAGAUUGACUUAAUUCCCGGUGCUUCACUGCCAAACCGUGCACCAUACCGUACCAAUCUAGAGGAGACGAAGGAGAUUAUGCGUCAAGUACAAGAGCUUCUCGACAAAGGUUAUAUACGCGAAUCCCUUAGUCCUUGUGCUGUUCCUAUUAUUCUAGUGCCGAAAAAGGAUGGUACAUCACGUAUGUGUGUUGAUUGUAGAGGCAUUAAUAAUAUUACUAUUCGUUAUCGUCAUCCUAUUCCUAGGCUAGAUGAUAUGCUUGAUGAAUUGAGUGGCUCUACAAUAUUCUCCAAAGUUGAUUUGCGUAGUGGAUACCAUCAAAUUCGUAUGAAAUUGGGAGAUGAAUGGAAAACAACAUUCAAAACUAUGUUUGGAUUAUAUGAGUGGUUAGUCAUGCCUUUUGGGUUAACUAAUGCACCUAGUACUUUCAUGAGAUUAAUGAACGAAGUUUUACGUGCUUUCAUUGGACGAUUUGUGGUAGUUUACUUUGAUGACAUAUUGAUUUAUAGCAGAUCUUUGGAAGAACAUUUGGAACAUUUACGUGCUGUUUUUAUUGCUCUACGUGAUGCACGUUUGUUUGGUAACCUUGGGAAGUGCACCUUUUGCACCGACCGAGUAUCUUUUCUUGGCUAUGUUGUUACUCCACAGGGAAUUGAAGUUGAUAAAGCCAAGAUUGAAGCUAUUGAGAGUUGGCCGCAACCCAAAACGGUCACACAAGUGAGGAGUUUUCUUGGCCUCGCUGGAUUCUAUAGGCGUUUUGUGAGAGAUUUUAGCACCAUUGCUGCACCUCUCAAUGAGCUUACAAAGAAAGAUGUGCCUUUUCUUUGGGGUACCGCACAGGAAGAAGCCUUCUCGGUAUUGAAAGAUAAGUUGACACAUGCUCCUUUACUCCAACUUCCUGAUUUUAAUAAGACUUUUGAGCUUGAAUGUGAUGCUAGUGGAAUUGGAUUAGGCGGUGUGUUAUUACAAGAUGGCAAACCUGUUGCAUACUUUUCUGAAAAAUUGAGUGGGCCUAGUCUGAAUUAUUCUACUUAUGAUAAAAUUAUAUGCUCUUGUUCGGACUUUAGAAACAUGGCAACAUUAUUUAUGGCCCAAAGAAUUUGUUAUACAUUCUGAUCAUGAAUCUUUGAAACAUAUUAAAAGUCAAGCUAAACUGAAUCGUAGACAUGCUAAAUGGGUUGAAUUCAUCGAGACUUUUCCUUAUGUCAUUAAACACAAGAAGGGAAAAGAAAAUGUUAUUGCUGAUGCAUUGUCUCGCCGCUAUACUAUGCUUUCACAACUUGACUUCAACAUAUUUUGUUUGGAGACCAUCAAAGAUCAAUAUGUGCAUGAUGCUGAUUUUAAAAAUGUAAUGCAGAAUUGUAAAGAAGGAAGAAUGUGGAACAAGUUCGUCGUUAACAAUGGAUUUGUGUUUCGUGCUAACAAGCUAUGCAUUCCAGCUAGCUCCGUUCGUCUUUUGUUGUUGCAGGAGGCGCAUGGAGGAGGAUUAAUGGGACACUUUGGCGUGAAGAAGACGGAGGACGUACUUGCUACACAUUUCUUUUGGCCAAAGAUGAGACGGGAUGUUGAGCGUUUUAUUGCUCGCUGCACUACAUGUCAAAAAGCUAAGUCACGACUCAAUCCUCAUGGUUUAUAUAUGCCGCCUGUACCUAGUGUUCCUUGGGAGGAUAUAUCUAUGGACUUUGUUUUAGGUUUACCUCGAACAAAGAAGGGGAGGGAUAGCAUAUUUGUUGUCGUGGAUAGAUUCUCGAAAAUGGCACACUUUAUACCAUGUCAUAAAAGCGAUGAUGCUGUUAAUGUUGCUGAUUUGUUCUUUCGUGAAAUUAUUCGCUUGCAUGGUGUGCCAAAUACUAUUGUUUCGGAUCGUGAUACUAAAUUUCUUAGCCACUUUUGGAGAUGUUUAUGGGCUAAGUUGGGGACUAAACUGCUUUUUAGUACUACUUGUCACCCCCAAACUGAUGGACAAACUGAAGUAGUCAAUAGAACUUGUCUACUAUGCUUAGGGCUGUUUUGAAGAAUAAUAAGAAAAUGUGGGAGGAAUCCUUGCCUCAUAUUGAAUUUGCUUAUAAUCGUUCAUUGCAUUCUACUACUAAGAUGUGCCCUUUUGAAGUUGUGUAUGGUUUCCUACCUCGUGCACCUAUUGAUUUGUUGCCUCUUCCAUCUUCGGAGAAGGUUAAUUUUGAUGCUAAACAACGUGCUGAAUUGAUUUUAAAAAUGCAUGAGUUAACUAAGGAAAACAUUGAGCGUAUGAAUGCUAAAUAUAAACUUGCUGGAGAUAAGGGUAGAAAACAUGUUGUGUUUGCACGUGGAGAUCUUGUUUGGUUACAUUUGCGUAAGGAUAGAUUUCCGGAUUUGCGCAAAUCAAAGUUAAUGCCACGUGCUGAUGGUCCCUUUAAGGUGUUAGAGAAAAUAAAUGAUAAUGCAUAUAAACUUGAGCUGCCUGCAGAUUUUGGGGUUAGUCCCACUUUUAACAUUGCAGAUUUGAAGCCUUAUUUGGGUGAGGAAGAUGAGCUUCCGUCGAGGACGACUUCAUUUCAAGAAGGGGAGGAUGAUGAGGACAUCAAUACCAUUGUUACACCCACAGCCCCUACUGCUACAUAUACGGGACCAAUUACUAGAGCUCGCGCACGCCAAUUAAAUUAUUAGGUACUUUCGUUUCUUGGUAAUGAUUCUAAUGUUCAUGAGAAUAUGAUGCUGCCUAAAUUGGAUACAUUUGUUUUGCUUACAAAUGAAGGGCCUAGCUUGGAGAAGGAUGAACAUUGGAGCACGAACAAGCAUGGAGAUGAUGCAUGCGCAAGGGGAACAAGAACGGAGUUACAAGUGAUGAUUUCAGGACUUUGAAGCCACAAUAAUGGGUGCAUGAAGCCUUGGACGAAAUAUACAAGAUGCCACUUCAUAAAUUUCAUCCCGAGGCUAUUAUAGGUGCUGCGUCACCUUUUUAUUGGGCCAGGCCCAUGUAAUUUCGAAAUACAUAAGUAUAGGCUAUUUUUAGAGUCCGUAUGUGUGGGGAAACAAGGGAUAGGGUUGAUUUUGGACCCCUCCACCAAGGGCCACGGUAUUCCCCUCUCUUCCUCCAUAUAUACAGCCCUUAGGGCACCGUUUAGAUUUUGGGUUUUGUUUAGAUUAAAAGUUAGCCAUAGCUGCAACUUCGCGUACUUCGUUUGUGUUCAACGACCAGACAAAGGCGUCACAGAAACCCACCUUGAUCAAUAAAGCUUUCAUCUUAUAUUCGCAAUAUCCAGAUUGCAAUCUCAGUUUCUUGCUUGUUCUUCGUUUGCUUGCAGGAAACAGACCCUCGUGGUCAGGUUGAUCGUGCUCCGGCGUGGUCAAUAACCUCUCGGAGUUGGUUUAGCGAUUGCUAAGGCGCGACGUCCUCGCACGUUCGUAGUCGGAUCGUCAAAGUCGACUGCCACCAAAGCGAUAUCGAUCAUCUCAUCGAAAGACGGGACACCUUUGCCUCUAUCACUCUUGUUCGGACUUUAGAAACAUGGCAACAUUAUUUAUGGCCCAAAAAUUUGUUAUACAUUCUGAUCAUGAAUCUUUGAAACAUAUUAAAAGUCAAGCUAAACUGAAUCGUAUACAUGCUAAAUGGGUUGAAUUCAUUGAGACUUUCCCUUAUGUCAUUAAACACAAGAAGGGAAAAGAAAAUAUUAUUGCUGAUGCAUUGUCUCGUCGCUAUACUAUGCUUUCACAACUUGACUUCAAAAUAUUUGGUUUGGAGACCAUCAAAGAUCAAUAUGUGCAUGAUGCUGAUUUUAAAGAUGUAAUGCAGAAUUGUAAAGAAGGAAGAAUGUGGAACAAGUUUGUUGUUAACGAUGGAUUUGUGUUUCGUGCUAACAAGCUAUGCAUUCCAGCUAGCUCCGUUCGUCUUUUGUUGUUGCAGGAGGCGCAUGGAGGAGGAUUAAUGGGACACUUUGGCGUGAAGAAGACGGAGGACGUACUUGCUACACAUUUCUUUUGGCCAAAGAUGAGACGGGAUGUUGAGCGUUUUAUUGCUCGCUGCACUACAUGUCAAAAAGCUAAGUCACGACUCAAUCCUCAUGGUUUAUAUAUGCCUUUGCCUGUACCUAGUGUUCCUUGGGAGGAUAUAUCUAUGGACUUUGUUUUAGGUUCACCUCGAACAAAGAAGGGGAGGGAUAGCAUAUUUGUUGUCGUGGAUAGAUUCUCGAAAAUGGCACACUUUAUACCAUGUCAUAAAAGUGAUGAUGCUGUUAAUGUUGCUGAUUUGUUCUUUCGUGAAAUUAUUCGCUUGCAUGGUGUGCCAAAUACUAUUGUUUCAGAUCGUGAUACUAAAUUUCUUAGCCACUUUUGGAGAUGUUUAUGGGCUAAGUUGGGGACUAAACUGCUUUUUAGUACUACUUGUCACCCCCAAACUGAUGGACAAACUGAAGUAGUCAAUAGAACGUUGUCUACUAUGCUUAGGGCUGUUUUGAAGAAUAAUAAGAAAAUGUGGGAGGAAUGCUUGCCUCAUAUUGAAUUUGCUUAUAAUCGUUCAUUGCAUUCUACUACUAAGAUGUGCCCUUUUGAAGUUGUGUAUGGUUUCCUACCUCGUGCACCUAUUGAUUUGUUGCCUCUUCCAUCUUCGGAGAAGGUUAAUUUUGAUGCUAAACAACGUGUUGAAUUGAUUUUAAAAAUGCAUGAGUUAACUAAGUGAUAGAGGCAAAGGUGUCCCGUCUUUCGAUGAGAUGGAGGAUUUCGCUUUGGUGGAAGUCGACUUUGACGAUCCGACUACGAACGUGCGAGGACGUCGCGCCUUAGCAAUCGCUAAACCAACUCCGAGAGGUUAUUGACCACGCCGGAGCACGAUCAACCUGACCACGAAGGUCUGUUUCCUGCGAGCAAACGAAGAACAAGCAAGAAACUAAGAUUGCAAUCUGGAUAUUGCGAAUAUAAGAUGAAAGCUUUAUUGAUCAAGGUGGGGUUCUGUGACGCCUUUGUCUGGUCGUUGAACACAAACGAAGUACGCGAAGUUGCAGCUAUGGCGAACUUUUAAUCUAAACAAAACCCAAAGUCUAAACGAUGCCCUAAGGGCUGUAUAUAUGGAGGAAGAGGGGGGGAAUUUCGUGGCCCUUGGUGGAGGGGUCCGAAAUCAACCCUAUCUCUUGUUUCCCCACACAUACGGACUCUAAAAAUAGCCUAUACUUAUGUAUUUUGAAAUUACAUGGGCCUGGCCCAAUAAUAAGGUGACGCAGCACCUAAAAUAGCCUCGGAACGAAAUUUAUGAAGUGGCGUCUUGUAUAUUUCGUCCAAGGCUUCAUGCACCCAUUAUGGUGGCUUCAAAGUCCUGAAAUCAUCACUUGUAACUCCGUUCUUGUUUCCCUUGCGCAUGCCAUCAUCUCCAUGCUUGUUCUUGCUCCAAUGUUCAUCCUUCUCCAAGCUAGGCCCUUCAUUUGUAAGCAAAACAAAUGUAUCCAAUUUAGGCAGCAUCAUAUUCUCAUGAACAUUAGAAUCAUUACCAAGAAACGAAAGUACCUGGUAAUUUAGUUGGCGUGCACGAGCUCUAGUAAUUGGUCCAGUAUGUAUAGCAGCAGGGGCUGUGGGUGUAACAAUUGUAUUGAUGUCCUCAUCACAUAUUAAAAGUCAAGCUAAACUGAAUCGUAGACAUGCUAAAUGGGUUGAAUUCAUUGAGACUUUUCCUUAUGUCAUUAAACACAAGAAGGGAAAAGAAAAUGUUAUUGCUGAUGCAUUGUCUCGCCGCUAUACUAUGCUUUCACAACUUGACUUCAAAAUAUUUGGUUUGGAGACCAUCAAAGAUCAAUAUGUGCAUGAUGCUGAUUUUAAAGAUGUAAUGCAGAAUUGUAAAGAAGGAAGAAUGUGGAACAAGUUCGUCGUUAAUGAUGGAUUUGUGUUUUGUGCUAACAAGCUAUGCAUUCCAGCUAGCUCCGUUCGUCUUUUGUUGUUGCAGGAGGCGCAUGGAGGAGGAUUAAUGGGACACUUUGGCGUGAAGAAGACGGAGGACGUACUUGCUACACAUUUCUUUUGGCCAAAGAUGAGACGGGAUGUUGAGCGUUUUAUUGCUCGCUGCACUACAUGUCAAAAAGCUAAGUCACGACUCAAUCCUCAUGGUUUAUAUAUGCCUUUGCCUGUACCUAGUGUUCCUUGGGAGGAUAUAUCUAUGGACUUUGUUUUAGGUUUACCUCGAACAAAGAAGGGGAGGGAUAGCAUAUUUGUUGUCGUGGAUAGAUUCUCGAAAAUGGCACACUUUAUACCAUGUCAUAAAAGCGAUGAUGCUGUUAAUGUUGCUGAUUUGUUCUUUCGUGAAAUUAUUCGCUUGCAUGGUGUGCCAAAUACUAUUGUUUCAGAUCGUGAUACUAAAUUUCUUAGCCACUUUUGGAGAUGUUUAUGGGCUAAGUUGGGGACUAAAUUGCUUUUUAGUACUACUUGUCACCCCCAAACUGAUGGACAAACUGAAGUAGCCAAUAGAACGUUGUCUACUAUGCUAGGGCUGUUUUGAAGAAUAAUAAGAAAAUGUGGGAGGAAUGCUUGCCUCAUAUUGAAUUUGCUUAUAAUCGUUCAUUGCAUUCUACUACUAAGAUGUGCCCUUUUGAAGUUGUGUAUGGUUUCCUACCUCGUGCACCUAUUGAUUUGUUGCCUCUUCCAUCUUCGGAGAAGGUUAAUUUUGAUGCUAAACAACGUGCUGAAUUGAUUUUAAAAAUGCAUGAGUUAACUAAGGAAAACAUUGAGCGUAUGAAUGCUAAAUAUAAACUUGCUGGAGAUAAGGGUAGAAAACAUGUUGUGUUUGCACCUGGAGAUCUUGUUUGGUUACAUUUGCGUAAGGAUAGAUUUCCUGAUUUCCGCAAAUCGAAGUUAAUGCCACGUGCUGAUGGUCCCUUUAAGGUGUUAGAAAAAAUAAAUGAUAAUGCAUAUAAACUGGAGCUGCCUGCAGAUUUUGGGGUUAGUCCCACUUUUAACAUUGCAGAUUUGAAGCCUUAUUUGGUGAGGAAGAUGAACUUCCGCCGAGGACGACUUCAUUUCAAGAAGGGGAGGAUGAUGAGGACAUCAUUACAACUGUUACACCCACAGCCCCUGCUGCUAUACAUACUGGACCAAUUACUAGAGCUCGUGCACACCAACUAAAUUACCAGGUACUUUCGUUUCUUGGUAAUGAUUCUAAUGUUCAUGAGAAUAUGAUGCUGCCUAAAUUGGAUACAUUUGUUUUGCUUACAAAUGAAGGGCCUAGCUUGGAGAAGGAUGAACAUUGGAGCAAGAACAAGCAUGGAGAUGAUGGCAUGCGCAAGGGGAACAAGAACGGAGUUACAAGUGAUGAUUUCAGGGCUUUGAAGCCACCAUAAUGGGUGCAUGAAGCCUUGGACGAAAUAUACAAGAUGCCACUUCAUAAAUUUCGUCCCGAGGCUAUUUUAGGUGCUGCGUCACCUUAUUAUUGGGCCAGGCCCAUGUAAUUUUGAAAUACAUAAGUAUAGGCUAUUUUUAGAGUCCGUAUGUGUGGGGAAACAAGAGAUAGGGUUGAUUUCGGACCCCUCCACCAAGGGCCACGAAAUUCCCCCCCUCUUCCUCCAUAUAUACAGCCCUUAGGGCAUCGUUUAGACUUUGGGUUUUGUUUAGAAUAAAAGUUCGCCAUAGCUGCAACUUUGCGUACUUCGUUUGUGUUCAACGACCAGACAAAGGCGUCACAGAACCCCACCUUGAUCAAUAAAGCUUUCAUCUUAUAUUCGCAAUAUCCAGAUUGCAAUCUCAGUUUCUUGCGUGUUCUUCGUUUGCUCGCAGGAAACAGACCCUCGUGGUCAGGUUGAUCGUGCUCCGGCGUGGUCAAUAACCUCUCGGAGUUGGUUUAGCGAUUGCUAAGGCGCGACGUCCUCGCACGUUCGUAGUCGGAUCGUCAAAGUCGACUGCCACCAAAGCGAUAUCGAUCAUCUCAUCGAAAGACGGGACACCUUUGCCUCUAUCACUCUUGUUCGGACUUUAGAAACAUGGCAACAUUAUUUAUGGCCCAAAAAUUUGUUAUACAUUCUGAUCAUGAAUCUUUGAAACAUAUUAAAAGUCAAGCUAAACUGAAUCGUAGACAUGCUAAAUGGGUUGAAUUCAUUGAGACUUUCCCUUAUGUCAUUAAACACAAGAAGGGAAAAGAAAAUAUUAUUGCUGAUGCAUUGUCUCGUCGCUAUACUAUGCUUUCACAACUUGACUUCAAAAUAUUUGGUUUGGAGACCAUCAAAGAUCAAUAUGUGCAUGAUGCUGAUUUUAAAGAUGUAAUGCAGAAUUGUAAAGAAGGAAGAAUGUGGAACAAGUUUGUUGUUAACGAUGGAUUUGUGUUUCGUGCUAACAAGCUAUGCAUUCCAGCUAGCUCCGUUCGUCUUUUGUUGUUGCAGGAGGCGCAUGGAGGAGGAUUAAUGGGACACUUUGGCGUGAAGAAGACGGAGGACGUACUUGCUACACAUUUCUUUUGGCCAAAGAUGAGACGGGAUGUUGAGCGUUUUAUUGCUUGCUGCACUACAUGUCAAAAAGCUAAGUCACGACUCAAUCCUCAUGGUUUAUAUAUGCCUUUGCCUGUAACUAGUGUUCCUUGGGAGGAUAUAUCUAUGGACUUUGUUUUAGGUUUACCUCGAACAAAGAAGGGGAGGGAUAGCAUAUUUGUUGUCGUGGAUAGAUUCUCGAAAAUGGCACACUUUAUACCAUGUCAUAAAAGCGAUGAUGCUGUUAAUGUUGCUGAUUUGUUCUUUCGCGAAAUUAUUCGCUUGCAUGGUGUGCCAAAUACUAUUGUUUCAGAUCGUGAUACUAAAUUUCUUAGCCACUUUUGGAGAUGUUUAUGGGCUAAGUUGGGGACUAAACUGCUUUUUAGUACUACUUGUCACCCCCAAACUGAUGGACAAACUGAAGUAGUCAAUAGAACGUUGUCUACUAUGCUUAGGGCUGUUUUGAAGAAUAAUAAGAAAAUGUGGGAGGAAUGCUUGCCUCAUAUUGAAUUUGCUUAUAAUCGUUCAUUGCAUUCUACUACUAAGAUGUGCCCUUUUGAAGUUGUGUAUGGUUUCCUACCUCGUGCACCUAUUGAUUUGUUGCCUCUUCCAUCUUCGGAGAAGGUUAAUUUUGAUGCUAAACAACGUGCUGAAUUGAUUUUAAAAAUGCAUGAGUUAACUAAGGAAAACAUUUAGCGCAUGAAUGCUAAAUAUAAACUUGCUGGAGAUAAGGGUAGAAAACAUGUUGUGUUUGCACCUGGAGAUCUUGUUUGGUUACAUUUGCGUAAGGAUAGAUUUCCUGAUUUGCGCAAAUCAAAGUUAAUGCCACGUGCUGAUGGUCCCUUUAAGGUGUUAGAGAAAAUAAAUGAUAAUGCAUAUAAACUUGAGCUGCCUGCAGAUUUUGGGGUUAGUCCCACUUUUAACAUUGCAGAUUUGAAGCCUUAUUUGGGUGAGGAAGAUGAACUUCUGUCGAGGACGACUUCAUUUCAAGAAGGGGAGGAUGAUGAGGACAUCAAUACAAUUGUUACACCCACAGCCCCUGCUGCUAUACAUACUGGACCAAUUACUAGAGCUCGUGCACGCCAACUAAAUUACCAGGUACUUUCAUUUCUUGGUAAUGAUUCUAAUGUUCAUGAGAAUAUGAUGCUGCCUAAAUUGGAUACAUUUGUUUUGCUUACAAAUGAGGGGCCUAGCUUGGAGAAGGAUGAACAUUGGAGCAAGAACAAGCAUGGAGAUGAUGGCAUGCGCAAGGGGAACAAGAACGGAGUUACAAGUGAUGAUUUCAGGACUUUGAAGCCACCAUAAUGGGUGCAUGAAGCCUUGGACGAAAUAUACAAGAUGCCACUUCAUAAAUUUCGUCCCGAGGCUAUUUUAGGUGCUGCGUCACCUUAUUAUUGGGCCAGGCCCAUGUAAUUUCGAAAUACAUAAGUAUAGGCUAUUUUUAGAGUCCGUAUGUGUGGGGAAACAAGAGAUAGGGUUGAUUUCGGACCCCUCCACCAAGGGCCACGAAAUUCCCCCCUCUUCCUCCAUAUAUACAGCCCUUAGGGCAUCGUUUAGACUCUGGGUUUUGUUUAGAUUAAAAGUUCGCCAUAGCUGCAACUUCGCGUACUUCGUUUGUGUUCAACGACCAGACAAAGGCGUCACAGAACCCCACCUUGAUCAAUAAAGCUUUCAUCUUAUAUUCGCAAUAUCCAGAUUGCAAUCUCAGUUUCUUGCUUGUUCUUCGUUUGCUCGCAGGAAACAGACCCUCGUGGUCAGGUUGAUCGUGCUCCGGCGUGGUCAAUAACCUCUCGGAGUUGGUUUAGCGAUUGCUAAGGCGCGACGUCCUCGCACGUUCGUAGUCGGAUCGUCAAAGUCGACUUCCACCAAAGCGAAAUCCACCAUCUCAUCGAAAGACGGGACACCUUUGCCUCUAUCAAUUCCAGCUAGCUCCGUUCGUCUUUUGUUGUUGCAGGAGGCGCAUGGAGGAGGAUUAAUGGGACACUUUGGCGUGAAGAAGACGGAGGACGUACUUGCUACACAUUUCUUUUGGCCAAAGAUGAGACGGGAUGUUGAGCGUUUUAUUGCUCGAUGCACUACAUGUCAAAAAGCUAAGUCACGACUCAAUCCUCAUGGUUUAUAUAUGCCUUUGCCUGUACCUAGUGUUCCUUGGGAGGAUAUAUCUAUGGACUUUGUUUUAGGUUUACCUCGAACAAAGAAGGGGAGGGAUGGCAUAUUUGUUGUCGUGGAUAGAUUCUCGAAAAUGGCACACUUUAUACCAUGUCAUAAAAGCGAUGAUGCUGUUAAUGUUGCUGAUUUGUUCUUUCGUGAAAUUAUUCGCUUGCAUGGUGUGCCAAAUACUAUUGUUUCAGAUCGUGAUACUAAAUUUCUUAGCCACUUUUGGAGAUGUUUAUGGGCUAAGUUGGGGACUAAAUUGCUUUUUAGUACUACUUGUCACCCCCAAACUGAUGGACAAACUGAAGUAGUCAAUAGAACGUUGUCUACUAUGCUUAGGGCUGUUUUGAAGAAUAAUAAGAAAAUGUGGGAGGAAUGCUUGCCUCAUAUUGAAUUUGCUUAUAAUCGUUCAUUGCAUUCUACUACUAAGAUGUGCCCUUUUGAAGUUGUGUAUGGUUUCCUACCUCGUGCACCUAUUGAUUUGUUGCCUCUUCCAUCUUCGGAGAAGGUUAAUUUUGAUGCUAAACAACGUGCUGAAUUGAUUUUAAAAAUGCAUGAGUUAACUAAGGAAAACAUUGAGCGCAUGAAUGCUAAAUAUAAACUUGCUGGAGAUAAGGGUAGAAAACAUGUUGUGUUUGCACCUGGAGAUCCUUUUUGGUUACAUUUGCGUAAGGAUAGAUUUCCUGAUUUGUGCAAAUCGAAGUUAAUGCCACGUGCUGAUGGUCCCUUUAAGGUGUUAGAAAAAAUAAAUGAUAAUGCAUAUAAACUGGAGCUGCCUGCAGAUUUUGGGGUUAGUCCCACUUUUAACAUUUUAGAUUUGAAGCCUUAUUUGGGUGAGGAAGAUGAACUUCCGCCGAGGACGACUUCAUUUCAAGAAGGGGAGGAUGAUGAGGACAUCAAUACAACUGUUACACCCACAGCCCCUGCUGCUAUACAUACUGGACCAAUUACUAGAGCUCGUGCACACCAACUAAAUUACCAGGAACUUUCGUUUCUUCGUAAUGAUUCUAAUGUUCAUGAGAAUAUGAUGCUGCCUAAAUUGGAUACAUUUGUUUUGCUUACAAAUGAAGGGCCUAGCUUGGAGAAGGAUGAACAUUGGAGCAAGAACAAGCAUGGAGAUGAUGGCAUGCACAAGGGGAACAAGAACGGAGUUACAAGUGAUGAUUUCAGGACUUUGAAGCCACCAUAAUGGGUGCAUGAAGCCUUGGACGAAAUAUACAAGAUGCCACUUCAUAAAUUUCGUCCCGAGGCUAUUUUAGGUGCUGCGUCACCUUAUUAUUGGGCCAGGCCCAUGUAAUUUUGAAAUACAUAAGUAUAGGCUAUUUUUAGAGUCCUUAUGUGUGGGGAAACAAGAGAUAGGGUUGAUUUCGGACCCCUCCACCAAGGGCCACGAAAUUCCCCCCCUCUUCCUCCAUAUAUACAGCCCUUAGGGCAUCGUUUAGACUUUGGGUUUUGUUUAGAAUAAAAGUUCGCCAUAGCUGCAACUUCGCGUACUUCGUUUGUGUUCAACGACCAGACAAAGGCGUCACAGAACCCCACCUUGAUCAAUAAAGCUUUCAUCUUAUAUUCGCAAUAUCCAGAUUGCAAUCUUAGUUUCUUGCUUGUUCUUCGUUUGCUCGCAGGAAACAGACCCUCAUGGUCAGGUUGAUCGUGCUCCGGCGUGGUCAAUAACCUCUCGGAGUUGGUUUAGCGAUUGCUAAGGCGCGACGUCCUCGCACGUUCGUAGUCGGAUCGUCAAAGUCGACUGCCACCAAAGCGAUAUCCAUCAUCUCAUCGAAAGACGGGACACCUUUGCCUCUAUCAGUAUGCUCAACUCGUAUAGUGCCGGAGUCACUUAGCCAUUGGACCUUGUAGGGGUGCGGGUGCUUCCUCUUGACCAAUUGAAGCUUGGAGCAUAAUUCUUCACUUGCCAAGUUGUGGCAACUACCUCCAUCGAUGAUGACCUUGACGGACUUUCCAUUGAUGCCGGCCUUUGUGUGGAAGAUGUGGCAUCUUUGGUCUUCUUCUUGUUGAUGUUGAAGUGUCAAGACUUUGGAGACAACGAGAGCGGGGCUCGAAUCCUCAUCACAAAAGACUUGAUCAUCUUCAUCUUUGUUCACGCGCUGGUGCAUGGCCACUUGCUCAAGGGCUUCCAUCUCCUCUUCACUCAUUGAGUCAUAUGUGCCGUCGUCGUUGAGGAUCAUGGUGCACUUAUUCGUGCAUUCAUAUGACUUGUGGCCUCGGCCGCCGCAAGUGAAACACUUGAAGGAGCUUGUUUUGACGGUCUCAUCGGUCGGAGUAGAUGAUGAAGCACGCGGCUUGAAGUUGCUUGUAGUAGGAGGAAGACGACUUGAACUUGUCGGAUUUUUCUUGUAACUUGACUUGUCGUCGUUGCUUGGAGAAGGUUUGGUUGACGUAGAUGUUGGAGGAGUCGUUGAAGCUUGGAUGUUGGAGAAGCCGUAGGUCUUGGAUGAGUACUUGGCGUACUUGAAGUCAUCUUGCACUUGACGUUCUGCCUUGGUUGCUUGAUGCACGAGCUCAAUGAGGUUGGAAUAUGGUUUUAAGUCGGCGAUCUUCUUGAUGGGAUGAUUGAGUCCAUUCAAGAAACGUGCCAUUGUUUGCUCAUCAUCUUCCUUGACAUUGGCUCGAAUCAUGGCUAUCUCCAUUGAUGAGGACAUCAAUACCAUUGUUACACCCACAGCCCCUACUGCUACAUAUACGGAACCAAUUACUAGAGCUCGCGCACGCCAAUUAAAUUAUCAGGUACUUUCGUUUCUUGGUAAUGAUUCUAAUGUUCAUGAGAAUAUGAUGCUGCCUAAAUUGGAUACAUUUGUUUUGCUUACAAAUGAAGGGCCUAGCUUGGAGAAGGAUGAACAUUGGAGCAAGAACAAGCAUGGAGAUGAUGCCAUGCGCAAGGGGAACAAGAACGGAGUUACAAGUGAUGAUUUCAGGACUUUGAAGCCACCAUAAUGGGUGCAUGAAGCCUUGGGCGAAAUAUACAAGAUGCCACUUCAUAAAUUUCGUCCUGAGGCUAUUAUAGGUGCCGCGUCACCUUUUUAUUGGGCCAGGCCCAUGUAAUUUCGAAAUACAUAAGUAUAGGCUAUUUUUAGAGUCCGUAUGUGUGGGGAAACAAGAGAUAGGGUUGAUUUCGGACCCCUCCACCAAGGGCCACGAAAUUCCCCCUCUCUUCCUCCAUAUAUACAGCCCUUAGGGCACCGUUUAGACUUUGGGUUUUGUUUAGAUUAAAAGUUCGCCAUAGCUGCAACUUCGCGUACUUCGUUUGUGUUCAACGACCAGACAAAGGCGUCACAGAACCCCACCUUGAUCAAUAAAGCUUUCAUCUUAUAUUCGCAAUAUCCAGAUUGCAAUCUUAGUUUCUUGCUUGUUCUUCGUUUGCUCGCAGGAAACAGACCCUCGUGGUCAGGUUGAUCGUGCUCCGGCGUGGUCAAUAACCUCUCGGAGUUGGUUUAGCGAUUGCUAAGGCGCGACGUCCUCGCACGUUCGUAGUCGGAUCGUCAAAGUCGACUUCCACCAAAGCGAUAUCCAUCAUCUCAUCGAAAGACGGGACACCUCCGCAUCAAUACAAUUGUUACACCCACAGCCCCUGCUGCUAUACAUACUGGACCAAUUACUAGAGCUCGUGCACGCCAACUAAAUUACCAGGUACUCUCGUUUCUUGGUAAUGAUUCUAAUGUUCAUGAGAAUAUGAUGCUGCCUAAAUUGGAUACAUUUGUUUUGCUUACAAAUGAAGGGCCUAGCUUGGAGAAGGAUGAACAUUGGAGCAAGAACAAGCAUGGAGAUGAUGGCAUGCGCAAGGAGAACAAGAACGGAGUUACAAGUGAUGAUUUCAGGACUUUGAAGCCACCAUAAUGGGUGCAUGAAGCCUUGGACGAAAUAUACAAGAUGCCACUUCAUAAAUUUCGUCCCGAGGCUAUUUUAGGUGCUGCGUCACCUUAUUAUUGGGCCAGGCCCAUGUAAUUUCGAAAUACAUAAGUAUAGGCUAUUUUUAGAGUUCGUAUGUGUGGGGAAACAAGAGAUAGGGUUGAUUUCGGACCCCUCCACCAAGGGCCACGAAAUUCCCCCCUCUUCCUCCAUAUAUACAGCCCUUAGGGCAUCGUUUAGACUUUGGGUUUUGUUUAGAUUAAAAGUUCGCCAUAGCUGCAACUUUGCGUACUUCGUUUGUGUUCAACGACCAGACAAAGGCGUCACAGAACCCCACCUUGAUCAAUAAAGCUUUCAUCUUAUAUUCGCAAUAUCCAGAUUGCAAUCUUAGUUUCUUGCUUGUUCUUCGUUUGCUCGCAGGAAACAGACCCUCGUGGUCAGGUUGAUCGUGCUCCGGCGUGGUCAAUAACCUCUCGGAGUUGGUUUAGCGAUUGCUAAGGCGUGACGUCCUCGCACGUUCGUAGUCGGAUCGUCAAAGUCGACUUCCACCAAAGCGAUAUCCAUCAUCUCAUCGAAAGACGGGACACCUUUGCCUCUAUCAAGUGGUAUCAGAUUUCCAGGUUGCUCGGUGAGAUUUUACAGUUUUUCGUAGUUUAGAUCGAGUCUGUUCUUCAUACCUAUAGUCCACGAAAAAGCCAAAAAAAAAUUAGGGUUAGUUCAUCCCAUCCGAACCAAUCUGAGCCUUUGCAUAAUCUUUUCUGUAUUUGCUUUGUUGAAUUUGCGGUUGCAUCGUCGUGUCAAGUUGCUGGUCUUAGCGUCUAGUCUUUUAGAGUUUCGAGUUCUGUUCACAGGUUGUCACGUCGCCGCUGCCAUAUACCACCACCACAUAUUCACCGCCAAUCCGAAUCCAUAUACGCCACCACAUAUCCGCCGCCAUCACGCCCAUCCGAGUCCACCUGCAACAUAUAUCCGCCACCAAUCCGAGUUCCACCAGAUUCAUCUCCGCCACCAGUCCGAGUUCCACCAGUUUCAUCUCCGCCACCAGUCCUAGUCCGAG
rnacentral:lncRNA from 1 species